CCGCUUCGAUUUCAUUAUUUUUUCUUAGUAUCCUGGUGUGUUUUUGGGCUAUAAUUAUUUUACUGCAUAAUGCAUGAUGCAUUCGCGACGCGGGAUGUGUGAUCAUAUACAACUUGAUGUAUUAUAUAAUAAUAACUUUUGCCUAUCAACUAAACCUAAGCGUAAUUUCAGAAAUAUUCCUUCAAAUUAUAGAUGUGUACAGUUAUAUAAAUUACAGUAUGCCUGCGCAUAGGGCAUCUGGCGUCUCUGAGAAGCACCUGGGACCUGGGGCCAUGGGACAAGGGCUAAGGAUUGCGGAUUGACGGUUGUGGGCCGGAGUAUUGCUAACUAGCGGUUCUAGUAGUUCCUUUGAGCAAACAAGUUUAACAAAUUUCGAAUAAUAAAUAACAAAGCAUUAACAAGUCA